UACGUAGGGUGCGAGCGUUGUCCGGAAUUAUUGGGCGUAAAGAGCUCGUAGGCGGUGUGUCACGUCGGCCGUGAAAACCUGCAGCUUAACUGUGGGCGUGCGGUCGAUACGGGCAUCACUGGAGUUCGGCAGGGGAGACUGGAAUUCCUGGUGUAGCGGUGAAAUGCGUAGAUAUCUGGAGGAACACCGGUGGCGAAGGCGGCAUCCUGGACCAAUAUUGACGCUGAGGAGCGAAAGCCAGGGGAGCAAAGCGGG
rnacentral:rRNA from 1 species